rnacentral:rRNA from 1 species
AAGCGGAGGAAAAGAAACCAACAGGGAUUCCCCUAGUAGCGGCGAGCGAACCGGGAAGAGCUCAAAUUUGUAAUCUGGCGCUUGCGUCCGAGUUGUAAUCUAUAGAAACGUUUUCCGUGCCGGACCGUGUCCAAGUCCCUUGGAACAGGGUAUCAAAGAGGGUGACAAUCCCGUGCUUGACACGACGACCGGUGCUCUGUGAUACGUUCUCUACGAGUCGAGUUGUUUGGGAAUGCAGCUCAAAAUGGGUGGUAAACUCCAUCUAAAGCUAAAUAUUGGCGAGAGACCGAUAGCGAACAAGUACCGUGAGGGAAAGAUGAAAAGCACUUUGGAAAGAGAGUUAAACAGUAUGUGAAAUUGUUGAAAGGGAAACGAUUGAAGUCAGUCGUGUUCAUUGGACUCAGCCGGUUCUGCCGGUGUACUUCCUUUGGAUGGGUCAACAUCAGUUUUGGUCGGUGGAUAAUGGCUUGGGGAAGGUGGCACCUCCGGGUGUGUUAUAGCCCCUUGUCGCAUACAUCGGCCGAGACUGAGGCAUGCAGCUCGCCUUUAUGGCCGGGGUUCGCCCACGUUCGAGCUUAGGAUGUUGACGUAAUGGCUUUAAACGACCCGUCUU